GAUGAACGCUGGCGGCGUGCCUAAUACAUGCAAGUCGAGCGAACAGACGAGGAGCUUGCUCCUCUGACGUUAGCGGCGGACGGGUGAGUAACACGUGGAUAACCUACCUAUAAGACUGGGAUAACUUCGGGAAACCGGAGCUACUACCGGAUAAUAUAUUGAACCGCAUGGUUCAAUAUUGAAAGACGGUUUUGCUGUCACUUAUAGCUGGAUCCGCGCCGCAUUAGCUAGUUGGUAAGGUAACGGCUUACCAAGGCAACGAUGCGUAGCCGACCUGAGAGGGUGAUCGGCCACACUGGAACUGAGACACGGUCCAGACUCCUACGGGAGGCAGCAGUAGGGAAUCUUCCGCAAUGGGCGAAAGCCUGACGGAGCAACGCCGCGUGAGUGAUGAAGGUCUUCGGAUCGUAAAACUCUGUUAUUAGGGAAGAACAAAUGUGUAAGUAACUAUGCACGUCUUGACGGUACCUAAUCAGAAAGCCACGGCUAACUACGUG
rnacentral:rRNA from 1 species